GACGAACGCUGGCGGCGUGCUUAACACAUGCAAGUCGAACGGAAAGGCUCCAGCUUGCUGGCGUACUCGAGUGGCGAACGGGUGAGUAACACGUGGGUAAUCUGCCCUGCACUCUGGGAUAAGCCUGGGAAACUGGGUCUAAUACUGGAUAUGACCUUUCUCCUUAUGGGGUUUGGUGGAAAGUUUUUCGGUGUAGGAUGAGCCCGCGGCCUAUCAGCUUGUUGGUGGGGUGAUGGCCUACCAAGGCGACGACGGGUAGCCGGCCUGAGAGGGUGAUCGGCCACAUUGGGACUGAGAUACGGCCCAGACUCCUACGGGAGGCAGCAGUGGGGAAUAUUGCGCAAUGGGCGGAAGCCUGAUGCAGCGACGCCGCGUGAGGGAUGACGGCCUUCGGGUUGUAAACCUCUUUCAGCAGGGACGAAGCGUAAGUGACGGUACCUGCGGAAGAAGCACCGGCUAACUAGGUG
rnacentral:rRNA from 1 species